rnacentral:rRNA from 1 species
GAUGAACGCUGGCGGCGUGCCUAAUACAUGCAAGUCGAGCGAACAGACGAGGAGCUUGCUCCUUCGACGUUAGCGGCGGACGGGUGAGUAACACGUAGGUAACCUACCUAUAAGACUGGGAUAACUUCGGGAAACCGGAGCUAAUACCGGAUAAUAUUUCGAACCGCAUGGUUCGAUAGUGAAAGAUGGCUUUGCUAUCACUUAUAGAUGGACCUGCGCCGUAUUAGCUAGUUGGUAAGGUAACGGCUUACCAAGGCAACGAUUCGUAACCGACCUGAGAGGGUGAUCGGCCACACUGGAACUGAGACACGGUCCAGACUCCUACGGGAGGCAGCAGUAGGGAAUCUGCCGCAAUGGGCGAAAGCCUGACGGAGCAACGCCGCGUGAGUGAUGAAGGUCUUCGGAUCGUAAAACUCUGUUAUUAGGGAAGAACAAACGUGUAAGUAACUGUGCACGGCUUGACGGUACCUAAUCAGAAAGCAACGGCUAACUACGUG